AAAUUGAAGAGUUUGAUCAUGGCUCAGAUUGAACGCUGGCGGCAGGCCUAACACAUGCAAGUCGAGCGGUAGCACAGAGAGCUUGCUCUCGGGUGACGAGCGGCGGACGGGUGAGUAAUGUCUGGGAAACUGCCUGAUGGAGGGGGAUAACUACUGGAAACGGUAGCUAAUACCGCAUAAUGUCGCAAGACCAAAGUGGGGGACCUUCGGGCCUCAUGCCAUCAGAUGUGCCCAGAUGGGAUUAGCUAGUAGGUGGGGUAAUGGCUCACCUAGGCGACGAUCCCUAGCUGGUCUGAGAGGAUGACCAGCCACACUGGAACUGAGACACGGUCCAGACUCCUACGGGAGGCAGCAGUGGGGAAUAUUGCACAAUGGGCGCAAGCCUGAUGCAGCCAUGCCGCGUGUGUGAAGAAGGCCUUCGGGUUGUAAAGCACUUUCAGCGGGGAGGAAGGCGAUAAGGUUAAUAACCUUGUCGAUUGACGUUACCCGCAGAAGAAGCACCGGCUAACUCCGUGCCAGCAGCCGCGGUAAUACGGAGGGUGCAAGCGUUAAUCGGAAUUACUGGGCGUAAAGCGCACGCAGGCGGUCUGUCAAGUCGGAUGUGAAAUCCCCGGGCUCAACCUAGGAACUGCAUUCGAAACUGGCAGGCUAGAGUCUUGUAGAGGGGGGUAGAAUUCCAGGUGUAGCGGUGAAAUGCGUAGAGAUCUGGAGGAAUACCGGUGGCGAAGGCGGCCCCCUGGACAAAGACUGACGCUCAGGUGCGAAAGC
rnacentral:rRNA from 1 species